ensembl:lncRNA
UGAUAUUCUGAAAACAGAUUUAAUUUACAAAGAGUCAGUGACAGUUUUACAUCGUAUACGUAACACAGAAUCAACAACAUGUAGGGGCUCACAGAACCCCAAUGGAAAUCAGUAUUAUUAUUCAUUACAUACAUUUUCAUACAAAACACUGUGAUAGAUUGACCUCUCAGACGGUGCCUCGCGCCUUAAGAAGUCUCUUGUCUCUGUGUCCUCCUUAGACAAACGUCCAAUUUGGGGUUACUUAGGAGGUUGGUUGACCUGAAUACUGUGACCAACACCAUAUGGAUUGGCUGGCCAAGAAAAUUGAAAAGAAACUCCCAGGAUGACCAAAGUCCUGUUUGUACAAAGGGUUGUUUUUGGACAUAAUAUGUAAGUGAUUCUAAUACACAUAAUGGGAAUUAAGAUUGUCACUGUGAAACUGUGGUCCACUAGAUGCUAGGCUAAUGGCUUGUUCAAUGAGGCAGUAUCAUCGGUUACCCUGAGGGAAUUUGUGAGGGAUUUGUCAUUAUUCGUCACGUUUUUCAGAACCUGAUAUCUGUGUUUAAAAAGGAAGAGAAGUUACACCGAAGUAGAUUGAAGGUAAACAUUGUAUUCAUUAUGAUAUAACAAAAUCGAGAGAUUGACACAUAAAAUCACUGUUUAGAUACAAGUCGUGUGGUAAAUGGCUUACUGUACUGAACUGUACUGUGUACGUUACUCUUGUGUUACUGUCAUGUGAUGUUUUAUUUGUGUCAUAUGGAGAAAAAAACAACAACGUUUACUCUGGAAUCAUGCAAUCGGAAAAGAUCGAGUGUCUUAUUGCUGCUCUGUGGGGUAAAUGGCAGACACCGUAAGUGCACAAUGUUCUGUACAUCUCAGAAAACACGAAAAGCUGGUUACCUGCCUGGGCGCGAAGAUUUACAAUACUGUUGGGCCCUGGUAUACUGCCAUUACUGUGUGUGUGUGUGUGUGUAUGAGUAUGCAAAUAAGCAACAUCUUGAGCAUAGUGCGUUACUUUCCCCUCCCAGAAACGUUGGGCCCAACAGGCACCUCAGACCUGUAAUGUGUCUCCUUGGAGAGUCUGGGUGUUGAGCUCCACAUAAUGAGUGUGCAGCAGAUGGCCGUCGUACAGUCAGUGUGUCUCUCUCCCUUUCAAAGACUCUGGUGCCCCUGUCUCAUCUGUCCCAUCAUAACACCCCCCCCCCCUCCCCCACCCUUCUCUUUUUAU